AUCAAAAACAUAAAACAACUAAAUUAUUUCAACAUUCAUCUUUAGGUGCAUUUUACAUCACAAUUACUAUUACAUUUUCCAACUUUCGAAUACAAUCCAAGUUACAAUAAUUUAUUACAAGUUUAAUCCAUUCAUCUUAUUCUUUUCAUUUCCCUUUACCCCUAGGCUAUACCGACUCGGGGUACUGCUAUCCCUAGUUUCUGGGUAGGGCGCUAUCUACUGAGCUACGCCCUUACCUCGCGCCGCCGCACCACUCACGUGCAAACCUAUAACACCCCAAAAUAACGUGGGGUGAAAACCAACUCCAUGGUUCCCAGUGGGUACGGCGACCCAAGGGAAAAGCUCAACUAAUAGGUCCAAGGAGGCACUGCAAUCAUGUUAGUCCAAAAAUAUCUACAGAUAUAUAUCAUCAUGUUAUUAUGCAACUAACAGAUAACAUACCUCACAAAAUACAAUAUGAACAUCAUGCAAAUCCUGUAACUCAUGCAAGUAGAUUAGUUGGUUCUACUUCAUAUUCUUAACCAUUCUUUACUUGUAGCCGUUCUUUUCUUUAUUAGCUAUUCUUAUUCAUUAGCCGUUCUUUACUUUAUUUUCUUGUCACACUAUGCU
rnacentral:lncRNA from 1 species